AGGUCAGAGGUCUUGGCAUAAGGUCGGGCAGCUGUUCGAGGUUUAGAUGAAGCCUAAGAGAGCUGUCUCCAGGCCAGGGAAGCCAGCUUGGGAGGCCCCAAGCCUGCUGCCUCUUAAAGCAGGUGACUCAGCCUCGCUCUGUCAGUGACACUGGUUGAAAAGGCAGUGUGCUCUAGUGGGAAGACAACAGGGACUGUGGCAUCGGGAGACCAAGGUUCAGAUACAGCCCCUGGUUGAUUUCCAGCUCUCCUGUGUCAGGCAAGAUAUUUAGAAACAAAACAAAUAAGCUUGCUAUGUCACCUGGCAAAGACUCUUCGGGGUUCUAUUUAAGGAACAGAGAAAAGCGGCAUCAAGCUAGAAAUGUCUAACAUCCAGAGCCGAGUCUAAAUAAAUUUCCAGUCUGAUGUCCUUAAGAAAACAAGGUCUUCAAGGCUGGUCUUAAACAUAUCACAUGACCCUGCUUGAAACUAUCUUUCCUGUGUCCAUUGUUUCAAUUGAUUAUUUUGUUUUAUGGCUUCUCAAGUCUGGAAUCCUUUAAUUAGGUCUUUUUUCUUUGGAUUUACUGCCAAGUUCAGUGCCACCUGGUGAUUCUUCCUAGGUUCUAAUGUUAGUCAAUUUGCUGACUUGUCUAUACCAUUUAGAGACUUUGCUCUGUUCUAGAAUCUUGGUCUGAGCUAAGCCCUGGUUGGGGGAAUAUGGAAAGCGUGGGUGGAAGUCGCUGAACAUUAGACAGAGAAUGUCAGUUAGAGGCAGUGUUUGAGAUGCUUACAUUUUCA